UACGUAGGGUGCGAGCGUUAAUCGGAAUUACUGGGCGUAGAGCGUGCGCAGGCGGUCUGUUAAGACCGAUGUGAAAUCCCCGGGCUUAACCUGGGAACUGCAUUGGUGACUGGCAGGCUUUGAGUGUGGCAGAGGGAGGUAGAAUUCCACGUGUAGCAGUGAAAUGCGUAGAGAUGUGGAGGAAUACCGAUGGCGAAGGCAGCCUCCUGGGCCAACACUGACGCUCAUGCACGAAAGCGUGGGGAGCAAACAGG
rnacentral:rRNA from 1 species